GUGGAAAAAUAUAAAAAUCAACUUAAAGAAGACAUGCUGUUGCUCUUAGGGAGCGUUUCAAGACUGGUAAGACCAGCGACCGAUGAGAUUACCGUAGCUUGGAGGGGACUUGUCUUACGGGAUGGUCAGCUCGCUACAUCUGCAGCAGCCAGGAGGGAAGAUUGUGUCACUAAUCCGGUGCCGGAGGACAAAGACAAAGCGGCUGUGCAUGCAUGAGAAACUGCCCAUGGAAUUUCAUAAGCUCAAAAUAAUGUAUUUAAAAGAGCACGAUAGGAAGAUACAAACCCUUCAUGUUGAGUCGGCUAUGAAGGAGGAGGAGAGAAACAGGAAGCAGCAACAGUACCAAUGUUAUUCUUGAUUCAGCACCAGUUCGGGGUCCCGACAUUUCCAUUUGUGAAUUAAAUACCUUUUUGUUACCAAUA